rnacentral:lncRNA from 1 species
GUCUGUGGGCCAGGCCUGUUUUCCAGAGCAGCUUUCUGGCCCUGGAGUGUGCCCCUCUCCUGAGGCCUGUCUACCUAAUGCAGGACUAGGCUGCAGCCCUCUCUUCCCUUCCUCAUUCCUCCUUCAGCUCUCAGUUCAGCAGCCUGGCACAGAGAACAGGUGGCGGAUCCCCUGCUAUGCACUGAGCAGCGGCUCUGCAGGGUGCUGUGCUCUGGGCCCCGAGGUGCAGUGAACCUGGGCCCGCCCUGUGAGGCCCACGACCUGAUGGAUGGGAGACAGACAUCACUGGCACCUGUGCCCUAUGUGCAGAGAGCCGGGAUGGGGAAACGGAGAGCUCUCCCUUCCACGGGCGUUCGUCCCAAAGACACUCUUUAGCAAAAAUCCUGCUCACCAAGCUCCAUCUCAGAAUCGGCUUCUGACUGGCCCCAGUGAAUCACAGCCUAUGUCCACCCCUUCACAGUAACUGUGCUUUCCUCCCUUCCAGAGGGGCAGCCUAUUUCUCCCCACCUUGAAUCUGAGCUGGCUUCGUGACUUGCUUUGACCAAGACAACGUGUAGAAGUGACGGUUGGGACUUCUGAGCCCGAGUUUAAGUGGACUUGCAGUUUCACCUUCACUCUGGGAACCCAGCGCCAUGUAAACAAGUCCAGGCUGUCCUGCUGGAGGGAGAUGAUAUGGAGGAGAACUGCGGCAGCCCAGUAGAUAGCCAGCACCAUGGCCCCAGGCAAGCAAGAGAGGAAGAGAGGCCCUUGUGGCUCUUUCAGCCUUGGUUGGGCUGCCGUGGCCAACACAACUGGAGCAGAGAUAAGCUAUCUCUGCUGAGACACACAAAUUCUGACCCAGAGAAUUGCGAGUAAUAAAAUGACUGUUGUUUGAAAGCCCUAAGUUUUGGGGUGGUUUGUGAUUCAGCGAUAGAUAACUGAAACAGCAUGGCUGCACCAGCAGGAACGUGCCAGGCUCGUGAUCAUGCAGGGUGGCUACCCAUCCAUUGCAAAACCUCACAGUGGGUGGCCUUCCUGCUAGCGACCACAGGGUUAAGUGCAGCUAUGCCUCCUACCACUAACCCCCAGGAUGAGGUUCUGUUUUUCCAUCCCUGAGACCAUCAAUGCUCAUCUCAUUUCCACUCUUGGAACAGGGACAUGCCAGCACUAUUACCUCUUAAGCUCUCUGUGUCUGUAGAGAGAAGCAACUCACUGCCAAAGGAGCAAAUGAGGCCCAGCUUUCUGCAGCAACAUCCAUCGUCCUGUGCUGCUCCAGGCAGAAUCCCAGCGUAUAAUUCCCUUCUGCGGGAGCUGGCUCAGAGUGCAUCCAUCUUCACAAGCUCAUUAUUCAUCUGAUUAUUUUCAUGCCGUCCCAGUGGGGAAUAAAAGCCAUCAAUAAAUCACAACGAUGCUGCAGAUUAUACUAAAUGACCUGGGCAGAGAGCUGGCUGUGCCAGUUGCUGUGACCACAAAAGCCAGAGCUGCUCGUGUGCGGCGCUCCUCCAGGGCUGAAAAAAUGUGCAUCCUGUUCUCGCCCUGACACCAGUCCACCUCCUCACUUGCCCUCAGUAUCCUCAUUUGCCCUAGUGUAAUUAAAAUCCAUGAGCACGGGAGCCCCAGCCUUGCCAGAAGACCUGAGUUCAGCCUCUGCAUCGGCUGUGUGAUAUGGGGUUGGCUGCUUAGCCUCUCUUAAGCUUUGGGCUCCUCUUUGUGAAAUGGCCAGAAAUCAUUGCUGUGAGAGCUCAGUGAGAAAAUAAAUGUGCUAUUUGCACAUUGCAAAGUGCCGUAUAUGUGUGAGGGUGGCAUCUUGAUGGCCAUCAUUUCAGAGUGACCAGAACAUGUCGAGGGUUCCCGAGGAGAAAUGGAUUGGACUAGACACUGAGGUGCCGUGAGCAAUCAUCACAUGAUUUCUUGACUUCAGUUUCCUCACAUUUCCAAAUGGACCCAGUAGUAUUUGGCCCAUCAGUUUCAUAGCGCAAUUGUAAGGCUCAAAUCAAAUAACAGCGAGAGGAGCCCUUUGGCAAAGCAUCAAGUUGUAGAAAUGGAAGAUGUUUACUGGGUCAUUCCUUCUCUAAACGCUGUUGUUUUUGUCUUGUUUGUUUUGUUUCUGCCAAUCUUCCUGUUUCUUUGGUUUUCAGUAUUAUU